GACGAACGCUGGCGGCGUGCCUAAUACAUGCAAGUCGAACGCAGUGGGGACGGGUGAGUAACACGUGGGUAACCUCCCAUCAGAGGGGAUAACACUUGGAAACAGGUGCUAAACCGAUACUGAUGGAUGGACUCGCGGUGCAUGAGCUAGUUGGUGGGGUAACGGCGCACCAAGGCCACGAUGCAUAGCCGACCUGAGAGGGUGAUCGGCCACACUGGGACGGAGACACGGCCCAGACUCCUACGGGAGGCAGCAGUAGGGAAUCUUCGGCAAUGGGCGAAAGGCUGACCGAGCAACGCCGCGGGAGUGAAGAAGGUUUUCGGAUCGUAAAGCUCUGUUGGUGGAGAAGCGGUAUCUAACCAGAAAGCCACGGCUAACUACGUGCCAGCAGCCGCGGUAAUUC
rnacentral:rRNA from 1 species